rnacentral:rRNA from 1 species
GACGGGUGAGUAACGCGUGAGAAUCUACAUUYAGGUCGGGGACAACCACUGGAAACGGUGGCUAAUACCGGAUGUGCCGAGAGGUAAAAGGCUUGCCGCCUGARAAUGAGCUCGCGUCUGAUUAGCUAGUUGGGGGUGUAAGARACCACCAAGGCGACGAUCAGUAGCUGGUCUGARAGGAUGAUCAGCCACACUGGGACUGARACACGGCCCARACUCCUACGGGAGGCAGCAGUGGGGAAUUUUCCGCAAUGGGCGAAAGCCUGACGGARCAAUACCGCGUGAGGGAGGAAGGSUCUUGGGUUGUAAACCUCUUUUCUCAGGGAAGAAAAAAAUGACGGUACCUGAGGAAUAAGCAUCGGCUAACUCCGUGCCAGCAGCCGCGGUAAUACGGAGGAUGCAAGCGUUAUCCGGAAUGAUUGGGCGUAAAGGGUCCGCAGGUGGCACUGUAAGUCUGCUGUCAAARARCAAGGSUCAACCUUGUAAAGGCAGUGGAAACUACAGARCUAGAGUACGUUCGGGGCAGAAGGAAUUCCUGGUGUAGCGGUGAAAUGSGUAGAGAUCAGGAAGAACACCGGUGGCGAAAGCGUUCUGCUAGGCCUGUACUGACACUGAGGGACGAAAGCUAGGGGAGCGAAUGGGAUUAGAUACCCC